AGGAAGGUGUCCGAGUGGUUAUGGAGCUAGUUAAGGUUUGACCAACAAGGUUGUAUCGUUCACUAGUGCGAAAGCUCGUGGGUUCGAGUCCCACCCUUUCAG